UAGGCCAUGAUAGAUACACAAGUCAGUCUAU
rnacentral:piRNA from 1 species